rnacentral:rRNA from 1 species
UAAGGAAUAUUGGUCAAUGGACGCAAGUCUGAACCAGCCAUGCCGCGUGGAGGAUGAAGGUCCUCUGGAUUGUAAACUUCUUUUAUCUGGGAAGAAAUGCAUUUUUUCUAGAAUGCUUGACGGUACCAGGUGAAUAAGCACCGGCUAACUCCGUGCCAGCAGCCGCGGUAAUACGGAGGGUGCAAGCGUUAUCCGGAUUCACUGGGUUUAAAGGGUGCGUAGGUGGGUUGGUAAGUCAGUGGUGAAAUCUCCAGGCUUAACUUGGAAACUGCCAUUGAUACUAUCAAUCUUGAAUACCGUGGAGGUCAGCGGAAUAUGUCAUGUAGCGGUGAAAUGCUUAGAUAUGACAUAGAACACCAAUUGCGAAGGCAGCUGGCUACACGAAUAUUGACACUGAUGCACGAAAGCGUGGGGAUCAAAC